rnacentral:snRNA from 1 species
GGAGGCUCCGGCUAGGCGGGUGUCCCCUUCCUCCCUCACCGCUCCAUGUGCGUCCCUCCCGAAGCUGCGCACUUGGUGGAAGAGGACAACGUCUCAGGUAUAAAAGGAGUGUACCGAGGUCUCCAGUCUUCGGUCGCAGUAUACGAUAGCUGCGCUCCCCUGCUAGAACCUCCAAACAAGCUCAAGGUGGAGACUGGAGGAGAUUGGGAUAUGCCUUUAUUUUGUCCUCCCUAUAG